CAUAGUCCCAGGUGGGCCGCCAACGCAACUGCAUUCCCCAGUCAAGCUUAGUAAAUCUUUAACUCCAUGUUACUCAUGUGAUCGAAGUAAAAGCUAUAUAGAUGUAAUGUUCUAAACUGUGUAUGUUUGACAGAGUAUAGAAAAAAAAAAUUAUUUAUUCAGUUAUUUUAAAAAACCAAGCUGCAAUAUGUCAAGUUUAAUUUUCACGAGUACAGUGCUGCCUUUCACUGCAAGGUAGCCUAGCAAUAUACACACAAUCUGCCAUUUACAACUGUAAAAAAUGGCAAGCAGUAUUUCAAUCUGACACGGAGUGAUAUAUUUUUUGAAAACAAGAAGGGUGCACCGGUGGAGAAGAUAAUGAAAGUCCUGGACCAUCUACAGCUACAAGAAAUGAGCCAGUCAAAAAAAGAAAAUAUGAUGAUACAUACUUGAAGUUUGGAUUCUCCUUUAUCAGCUCGGAUGAGUAUCCAGUGUCUCAGGUCUUACAUCUGCUUAUUACCAUGUGUGAUGUUCCCCUGUGGUGUUAUCUGGACCAGUGAUCUGCUAGGUCACUCCAUUCCUUGACUCUGGGAGCCAGCCUUACCCUGCUCUGCUGUGAGAACCCCCACUCCAGCCUCUGGCAUUAGUAGAGAACAGGGCUGGCUCCAGGCACCAGCGAAGGAAACCGGUACCUGGGGCGGCCAAUAGAAAGGGGCGGCACGUCUGGGUCUUCGGCAGCACUUCGGCGACGGCUCAAAAGCUCUGCUUUAGUCUUCAGCGGCAAUUUAGCGGCUGCAUCUGCUCUGAAACCGAAAUGGCUGUGAUCUUUGGCUGCACGCAGACUGAAUCCCUCAAUAGGUAAAGGAGCAGCAGGCAGGCAACAGAGACAGAGUUUGAUGACUGCAUGCAACAACAGUAGCAAGGAGUGAACUGCAAAGAAGUCAGAAGGUUCCUUUAAAUAGCGUUGUUGUUGUGUUUAUUAUUUAAUAAAAUAGACAUCCAAAGGUCA